rnacentral:rRNA from 1 species
AGUGAACGCUGGCGGCAGGCCUAACACAUGCAAGUCGAACGGCAGCACAGUAAGAGCUUGCUCUUACGGGUGGCGAGUGGCGGACGGGUGAGGAAUACAUCCGAAUCUACUUUUUCGUGGGGGAUAACGUAGGGAAACUUACGCUAAUACCGCAUACGACCUACGGGUGAGAGCAGGGGAUCUUCGGACCUUGCGCGAUUGUAUGAGCCGAUGUCGGAUUAGCUAGUUGGCGGGGUAAAGGCCCACCAAGGCGACGAUCCGUAGCUGGUCUGAGAGGAUGAUCAGCCACACUGGAACUGAGACACGGUCCAGACUCCUACGGGAGGCAGCAGUGGGGAAUAUUGGACAAUGGGCGCAAGCCUGAUCCAGCCAUGCCGCGUGGGUGAAGAAGGCCUUCGGGUUGUAAAGCCCUUUUGUUGGGGAAGAAAAGCAGUAGGUUAAUACCCCGCUGUUCUGACGGUACCCAAAGAAUAAGCACCGGCUAACUUCGUG